GCCAUUUGUUUAGAACCACAUUUCCCUGUCCUUACUUGGGCUCUCAACCAUCCCACUCUACCCAACCUUUACCCUGCCCCUAACUUUCUCCCAGCUCCAAGAUGGCAUCCUUCCCCCUAUCUUGUUACUUUCCGCACAGCCCUGUUUCCAACUGAAACCACAGGGCUGCUGAGUUCUGUGUGGAGCCCACAGGAGCCGGGAGAUCACAGCUGUCACUAGGAUCCGAUGCUUCCCUAAGUGUGUUCUCUCCUAGACCCUUCCCCUAAGGCUGUUCCUAGGAGGCAGCUAUGAAACUGAAAACCCCAUACAUUAGAGAGACUUCCACUCUCCAGAAGGGACAGAAGGCCGAGCAGGGAGCUAGCCCACUGCGAAAAGGGGCUCUGCCUUAAAGCUUCCACAGCAACAACAGCAGGACCAGGGGCAGAGCCUGCUGUUGCAAGCGAUUAGAUGAGGGUCUGGACCUCAUCGAAGGACUUUUCCACUUGAAAAGCUACAGAAACUUUAGAAGGUCUGAAGAGCUCCCCACCUGCUUCUUCUUCAUGACCUUGAGGAUUUUCUUGUCUGACCGCUCUUUGGCUGUCAUCAGGCACUUGGUGACAUCAGCUGUCCACUGGAUCUGACUCGCCGUGAUCACCAUCUGAGGGUUUCUCUGUGUAGCCCUGGCUGUCCUGGAACUGGCUCUGUAGACCAGGCUGGACUAAGACAAUUUGAUUCUGAGACCUUGGCCACCACUCACCUCCACA
rnacentral:sRNA from 1 species